rnacentral:rRNA from 3 species
UACGGAGGGAGCUAGCGUUGUUCGGAAUUACUGGGCGUAAAGCGUACGUAGGCGGCUUUGUAAGUAAGAGGUGAAAGCCUGGAGCUCAACUCCAGAACUGCCUUUUAGACUGCAUCGCUUGAAUCCUGGAGAGGUGAGUGGAAUUCCGAGUGUAGAGGUGAAAUUCGUAGAUAUUCGGAAGAACACCAGUGGCGAAGGCGGCUCACUGGACAGGUAUUGACGCUGAGGUACGAAAGCGUGGGGAGCAAACAGG